GGGACAACCCGCCGAAAGGCGGGCUAAACCCGCGUACAUGCCACCGGGGCAUCCCGGAGGCAGGAAAGGCUUCGGCCGGACAGGGAUGGGCAUGCGGCGCAUUAGGCAGUAGGCGGGGUAACGGCCCACCUAACCGACGAUGCGUAGGGGUUCUGAGAGGAAGGUCCCCCACACUGGUACUGAGACACGGACCAGACUCCUACGGGAGGCAGCAGUGAGGAAUAUUGGUCAAUGGUCGGGAGACUGAACCAGCCAAGCCGCGUGAGGGAGGAAGGUACAGAGUAUCGUAAACCUCUUUUGUCAGGGAACAAAGACUGGGACGCGUCCCCGGAUGAGUGUACCUGAAGAAAAAGCGUCGGCUAACUCCGUGCCAGCAGCCGCGGUAAUACGGAGGAUGCGAGCGUUAUCCGGAUUUAUUGGGUUUAAAGGGUGCGCAGGCGGUCUGUUAAGUCAGCGGUCAAAGCCCGGGGCUCAACCCCGGCCCGCCGUUGAAACUGGCAGUCUCGAGUUGGAGAGAAGUAUGCGGAAUGCGCGGUGUAGCGGUGAAAUGCAUAGAUAUCGCGCAGAACUCCGGUUGCGAAGGCAGCAUGCCGGCUCCACACUGACGCUGAGGCACGAAAGCGUGGGUAUCGAACAGGAUUAGAUACCCUGGUAGUCCACGCAGUAAACGAUGAAUAAUGGCUGUCCG
rnacentral:rRNA from 1 species